UAGGGAAUAUUAGUAAUGGGCGAAAGCCUGAACUAGCAAUGCCGCGUGUGCGAAGAAGGCCUUCGGGUUGUAAAGCACUUUUUGAGAGGAUGAGGAAGGACGGUACUCUCAGAAUAAGUCUCGGCUAACUACGUGCCAGCAGCCGCGGUAACACGUAGGAGGCGAACGUUAUCCGGAUUUACUGGGCGUAAAGCGCGUGUAGGUGGUUUGGUAAGUAGGACGUGAAAACUCCUGGCUCAACUGGGAGAGGCCGUUCUAAACUGCCGAACUAGAGGAUGGUAGAGGGAGGUGGAAUUCCGAGUGUAGCGGUGGAAUGCGCAGAUAUCCGGAGGAACACCAGUGGCGAAAGCGGCCUCCUGGACCACUCCUGACACUCAGACGCGAAAGCUAGGGUAGCAAACGG
rnacentral:rRNA from 1 species